ensembl:lncRNA
CUCUCUCUUCCUCUGUGGCAUUUAAUUGUUCAUGACAUGAUGACGUGACAUUGAAUAAUCCACGGUUAACAGGCCUAGAGGGUGUGGUCAAGAUACAGUUUUGUUUUAUUAAAUUACAUAAAAUACUGAUGUACAGAUCAUAUACAGUGUGGAUAUUAGUCGGGGAAAUUACAGUACACAUAGCAUCUUACAAGUAGGCUACAACAGAUAGCUUCUGAUUUGAACAAUACAAGUCCAUUGAGCUACCCAGCACAAAGGUUCAUACUGAUGCUUUUCAUGAGUCCAUUGAGCAACCCAGCGCACAUAUUCAUACUGAUGCUUUUCAUGAGUCCAUUGAGCUAACCAGCACACAUGUUCGCACUGAUGCUUUUCAUGAAGUUUGUCGUCCAAAAUAAGUCUGGCUUUGGUGAUGAUGUAGGCUAAAGAACAGAACACUCCUGUCCGUCCCUGACCGAGACGGACGGUUCACUUGGUCCCCGGGCGCUGAGAAGCUGCCCACUGCUCCUGCGGGGUCCUGGAGGAAGGACGUCCCGGGAUGGGAAAAAAGCAGAGGGAAAAUUCACACCGACCUCAGGCCUGCGUCGCCUGUGUGUGUGUGUCCUGUGUCACCUCCAUAUAUAACACGUGUGUGUUGCAGUGAGUCGUUUGUGCAAUAAAAAACUGACUGCAGUCAGCCUUGUUUGUUUGAAAGGUUCCAUUUCCUGUCUGUACAGUGACAACUCUUGUCCAUCACAGAGUUUUUCAAAUUUUUUUUUUUUUUCAACAAGCCGCCUCACACCUAUAUGACUUCAGGACUGACCAUACACAGAGUUGUAUCUCUCAAAAUACUGGCUGCUCUGUCUGUUACCCCUCCGGUCCGGUCUCUGUGACAUUUCAAACUCCUGUCCCUGUGAAGGAAACAAUGGAAGACUAAUGUAUACAAUGUUUUUUCAGGUUACAUCAACCUUGUCUUCAGCAAAUAACUACUGGCACAAGGUCAGUAAAUGCAAGCAGGGAUAUUCCAGCUAACCAGUGUAGUAUAACACAAAUACUGCAACACGUUUGUGGGGACUCAUUCUGCAUCAGAAUAUUAAAUAUACAAUAUUUAAAGUUUAAAGUCCAGUUUUCAAUAUAUAAUUUAAGAGGGAACCAUGAGGGUUGAAAAGAUAAGGAACACAUGAGAGGUAGAAAUGAGCAAAUAUGAUUCAGGAGUUUAAUCAAAAAGAGGCACGCUAACUAGCUAAGAGUUAACAGAUAUUCCUUACAAACAGUAACAACAACACAGCUGGCACAGAUGAAAGCUGGCAAGCUUGCUAACAUGUAUCUGACCGUGUAUUUGGUGACUCAUGUAGUAAGCUCAUUUUACAUUUUUCAUGCCUGGACCACUAAAUGAAAACCGUGGCAACUAGUGGGAACAACAGGUAUGUUUAUCUCUCUUUCACUUGACAAUAUGUAAUCAAAAUUAAUCUGAAGAUAAAAAAACUAAAUGGCAAAAACUGACUGGUGCACUCACUUCUCUUGAUUGGUUUGAUGGCCUUGCUUCCUGGGAUUCAGAGUUUCUCUUCUUUUUCUUUAUCCUAAUGCAAAAUAUUUUCUAACAUUAUUCCACACUUAGAUCUGUCUGACGCCAGUCCCUUGUUUAAGUUUAAUACUUACAUUAAACCUAUAGAGUUGGUAUUAGCGUUCAGUAGUUGUGCAAAUAC